GGGGUUGUAGCUCAGUGGUAGAGUGCUUACCUUGCAUGCAUAAGGCCCUGGGUUCAAUCCUCAGCACCA
rnacentral:tRNA from 1 species